ACCAGCAGCCAUAUCACUCUGCAACUCACAACUGGCAACCCACUGAAGCUAAGCAGGUGUGAGCCUGGUCAGUACCUGGAUAGGAGAUCUCCUGGGAAAAACUAAGGUUGCUGCUGGAA
ensembl:rRNA 5S_rRNA 5S ribosomal RNA